UACGAAGGGGGCUAGCGUUGUUCGGAAUUACUGGGCGUAAAGCGCGCGCAGGCGGUCUUCCAAGUCAGUGGUGAAAGCCCGGAGCUCAACUCCGGAACUGCCAUUGAAACUGUUGGACUUGAGGAUGAGAGAGGUGAGUGGAAUUCCCAGUGUAGAGGUGAAAUGCGUAGAUAUUGGGAGGAACACCAGUGGCGAAGGCGGCUCACUGGACCGGAACUGACGCUGAGGCGCGAAAGCGUGGGGAGCAAACGGG
rnacentral:rRNA from 1 species